AAUGACCAACUCGAGUGGCGUUAAUAUGAAAAUGUUUUGUUUAGAGAAUUCCACCUCCGUGAGUGUUUCUUUUUGAGGGGUCGUCGCGGUUUGUCGUCUUAUUGUUUCGAACGGUCCGUACGUUUGGUGACGGGAAUUUCGCCGUAAAUCACGUUUCGAUCGGUUUUUUUCCUGGGUAACCACGGACAAUACAUUUUUGUU